UACAGAGGUCUCAAGCGUUGUUCGGAAUCACUGGGCGUAAAGGGUGUGUAGGCUGUGCGUUAAGUCAGAUGUGAAAGCCCAGGGCUCAACCUUGGAACUGCAUCCGAUACUGGCAAGCUAGAGUGUGUCAGAGGAUGGUGGAAUUCCCGGUGUAGCGGUGAAAUGCGUAGAGAUCGGGAGGAACAUCAGUGGCGAAGGCGGCCAUCUGGGACAACACUGACGCUGAGGCACGAAAGCGUGGGGAGCAAACAGG
rnacentral:rRNA from 1 species